ACGCACGCUGGCGGCAUGCCUCACACAUGCAAGUCGCACGAGACCUUCGGGUCUAGUGGCGCACGGGUGCGUCACGCGUGGGAACCUGCCCUUAGGUUCGGAAUAACUCCCCGAAAGGGGUGCUAAUACCGGAUAAUGUCUUCGGACCAAAGAUUUAUCGCCUUUGGAUGGGCCCGCGUUGGAUUAGCUAGUUGGUAGGGUAAAAGCCUACCAAGGCGACGAUCCAUAGCUGGUCUGAGAGGAUGAUCAGCCACACUGGGACUGAGACACGGCCCAGACUCCUACGGGAGGCAGCAGUGGGGAAUAUUGGACAAUGGGCGAAAGCCUGAUCCAGCAAUGCCGCGUGAGUGAUGAAGGCCUUAGGGUUGUAAAGCUCUUUUACCCGGGAUGAUAAUGACAGUACCGGGAGAAUAAGCUCCGGCUAACUCCGUG
rnacentral:rRNA from 1 species